UAAAUGGAGACAGGUGUGCGGAGAAGGCUGCAGGGUCCAUCGCGGCCUUUCCUUCUUGGGUUAUAGUUGAGGGUGGACCUGAUGUUUGAAGCUGCUGCACUGAAGAGCCUGGGGAAGGGAACAGCUCACCCAGCGCCCUGCUACCAGGGAGCCUGGAGAACGCCAUCGGCAGAGGCCAGAAGGGCAGCAGCCUGAAUGGACUAAGAACCGAGAUACCAUUGGAGGAAACGGAAGGGAAAAUGGGCUUCCUCAUCCUUGAAUAUCCUGAUCCAAGAUGGUCCUUCCAGGAAGCCUUCCCUGAAUACCCCCUAUCCACUCUGGACCACCUGGAGCACACAUUUCUGACUUCCCAGAGGCAGGCUGCCUUGAAAGUUUUGACAACUUCUUUGAUCCACCAGUGUGCGGGCCGGUCCUGUGCUCUGCCUGUAUCACAGCGGAUUUGCCCUGAAGACUGCCUUUCCCACGUUUUCUUGUCAGCUUCCCCGCAAGCAGCGGGAAGGGCCAGAAGAGGAAGGGGGCAGAGAGAAGCCGAGAGAAGCCCGGUAUUUCUCUCCCUGCCUCGGGAGUCGCUGGCGGGGGCUGCCUCGCCUUGGUGGCUCCAGCUCUAUGAGACUGGUUUGCCUUCCCAUUAGGGGUGGAAUUGGCUUCCUGCUGUUGUGAAUCUCUAGACUGCCUCAUUACUGCCUCUUUACGAUCUUAGAUUCCAUCACUCGUGCGUAUUAAAUUCUGUUCUGCAUGUCUGAAGUGGUUCCCGUUCUCCUAAUAGACCAUGACAGCCUCCCAUCUUCUUCAGCAUCACUGAGAAUACAGUGGGAGCUCUAUGUAUCUGUUGGCUGAAUACAUGGAGGAUUCAUUUAAAAACUAAGACGGGGGCGCCUGGGUGGCUCAGUCUGUUGAGUGUCUGACUUCGGCUCAGGUCAUGAUCCCAUGGUUCAUGAGUUCGAGCCCCAUGUCGGGCUUAUAGUGCAGAGCCUGCUUCUCUGUCUCCCUCUCUCUGCCCCUCCGCCACUCACGCUCUCUAUCUCUUUCUGUCAAAAAUAAACAUUAAAAAAAAAAAAAACUAAGAUACAGGACCCCUUCUCUGUUCUUAACAAAAGUCAGUGA